rnacentral:rRNA from 1 species
AUUGAACGCUGGCGGCGGGCCUAACACAUGCAAGUCGAGCGGGGUUUUCGGACCUAGCGGCGGACGGGGGAGUAAUGCGUAGGAAGCUGCCCGAUAGAGGGGGAUACCAGUUGGAAACGACUGUUAAUACCGCAUAAUGUCUACGGACCAAAGUGUGGGACCUUCGGGACACAUGCUAUCGGAUGCGCCUACGUGGGAUUAGCUAGUUGGUGAGGUAAUGGGUCACCAAGGCGACGAUCUCUAGCUGGUUUGAGAGGAUUAUCAGCCACACUGGCACUGAGACACGGUCCAGACUCCUAAGGGAGGCAGCAGGGGGGAAUAUUGGACAAUGGGCGCAAGCCUGAUCCAGCCAUGCCGCGUGUGUGAAGAAGGCCUUCGGGUUGUAAAGCACUUUCAGCGAGGAGGAAGGGUGGUGUGUUAAUAGCACAUCAUUUUGACGUUACUCGCAGAAGAAGCACCGGCUAACUCUGUGCCAGCCGCCGCGGUAACAC